GAGCCUGAGAAACGGCUACCACAUCCAAGGAUGGCAGCAGGCGCGCAAAUUACCCAAUCCCGACACGGGGAGGUAGUGACAAUAAAUAACAAUACGGGGUUCUUUAGGAUCUCGUAAUUGGAAUGAGUACAAUUUAAAUCUCUUAACGAGGAACAAUUGGAGGGCAAGUCUGGUGCCAGCAGCCGCGGUAAUUCCAGCUCCAAUAGCGUAUAUUAAAGUUGUUGCAGUUAAAAAGCUCGUAGUUGAAUUUCGGGGUUAGUAGGUUGGUCAUGCCUCUGGUAUGUACUGGUCUCACUGAUUCCUCCUUCCUUAUGAACCGUAAUGCCAUUAAUUUGGUGUUGCGGGGAAUUUGGACUGUUACUUUGAAAAAAUUAGAGUGUUUAAAGCAAGCUAACGCUUGAAUACAUUAGCAUGGAAUAAUGAAAUAGGACGUUCGAUCUUAUUUUGUUGGUUUCUAGGAUUGACGUAAUGAUUAAUAGGGAUAGUUGGGGGCAUUAGUAUUCAAUUGUCAGAGGUGAAAUUCUUGGAUUUAUUGAAGACUAACUACUGCGAAAGCAUUUGCCAAGGAUGUUUUCAUUAAUCAAGAACGAAAGUUAGGGGAUCGAAGACGAUCAGAUACCGUCGUAGUCUUAACCAUAAACUAUGCCGACUAGGGAUCGGAUGAUGUUAAUUUUUUAAUGACUCAUUCGGCGCCUUACGGG
rnacentral:rRNA from 1 species